rnacentral:rRNA from 1 species
GGAGGGUGCAAGAGUUGUUCGGAUUUAUUGGGCGUAAAGCGAGCGUAGGCGGUUUGACAAGUCGGGUGUGAAAUCCCAGGGCCCAACCCGGAAACUGCAUCCGAUACUGUCAGGCUAGAGUCCCGGAGAGGAUGGCGGAAUUCCCGGUGUAGGGGUGAAAUCCGUAGAUAUCGGGAGGAACACCAGUGGCGAAGGCGGCCAUCUGGACGGUGACUGACGCUGAGACUCGAAAGUGUGGGUAGCAAACAGGAUUAGAUACCCUGGUAGUCCACACCGUAAACGGUGAGAGCUCGUCGUAGUGGGUAUUGACCCCUGCUGUGACCAAGUUAACGCAUGAAGCUCUCCGCCUGGGAAGUACGGUCGCAAGACUAAAACUCAAAGAAAUUGACGGGGGCCCGCACAAGCGGUGGAGCAUGUUGUUUAAUUCGAAGCAACGCGCAGAACCUUACCUGGAUUUGACAUCUCGGGAAUCUCUCUGAAAGGAGAGAGUGCCUUCGGGAACCCGAUGACAGGUGCUGCAUGGCUGUCGUCAGCUCGUGUCGUGAGGUGUUGGGUUAAGUCCCGCAACGAGCGCAACCCCUAUCGUUAGUUGCUAGCAGUUCGGCUGAGCACUCUAGCGAGACUGCCGGUGUUAAACCGGAGGAAGGUGGGGACGACGUCAAGUCCUCAUGGCCUUUAUGUCCAGGGCUACUAACGUGCUACAAUGGUCGGUACAGACGGUCGCGAACCUGCGAAGGUAAGCCAAUCCUACAAAGCCGGCCUCAGUUCGGAUUGGAGUCUGCAAUUCGACUCCAUGAAGGCGGAAUCGCUAGUAAUCGCAGAUCAGCAUGUUGCGGUGAAUACGUUCCCGGGCCUU